AUAGACAAUGGCCGAUCCGAGGGAUCAACAAAUCGAUGAUGAGGCCAUCAUGAUGAAUCUCAUCGCCGGUGGUGAAGAACAAAUCGAGGGUGAUGAUGAUGGUAGUCAGUACUUGCGGGCAGAUUACGAGGAGAUCAUGCAGGGAUCCUCCCUGCCACCUAAUGAGCAACAAAUUGUCGAGCAAGCCAAUACUGGCGAGGUAUAUUAAUUAUACAUGUUUAUUAGGGAUUAGAUUUAGACUUUAGGGUAUAUUGCAUCUUGUAUUAAUUUCAACUUCAUGUCUUUAUAUAUAUGUAGCCCUCUGGAUCGACAUCUACGACCAGGAAGAGCAGAGCCGUUCGAGGGCCAAGGAGGCCGUUGGAGGGUUGUCUCGUAAUCUCUGAAUUCGACGAGGCUACAGGCCAACCACUAGGACCGCAUGCAAAGACAUAUGCCAGUCAUUGUGGUUACCUAGUGAGGGACAGGAUAGCGAUCAGUGCUCGAGAAUGGAAGAUGAAGCCAAGUGCUCCUCACAUCAGCUUUGUCUCCAAUCGUGAUAAGGCCGACAUGUGGACUGACAUCAGACAUCAUUUCACGUUCGACACGAACGGUGACGAGCUGAAGGAGAGAAUCCGAGAGUGGACAAUAAAGAAGAUGGCAACACUUUUUCAGGCUUAGAAGAAGAACUUGUACACCAAGUUUGUGAAGAAGAACGAGACGCCAAAUUUCAGCACCAAGGCGUAUGUCAAGCUAAGACCCUUUUGGGAUGAAUUCGUGCAGUACAAAACGUCAAAAGAGAGCAAAGCUAUUAUCAGAAGGAACAAAGAGAAUGCUGCAAAGAAGAAAUACCACCAUCAUCUGGGAUCAGGUGGCUAUAUGAGUGUCAUUCCAAAGUGGGAGAGAAUGGAACGGAAGAUGAUUGCCAGGAGGGUAGUACCUUAGACAAUACAGGAGAAUUGGGGUGAAUGCUCGAAGCAAUGGUUAUACGGUCAUGGGGGAACCGUAGAUCCCGUAACUGGGUUGCUAGAUUGGGGCCCAAAAAUCUCAAGAGCAACAGAGAGGCUAGUUCGUGCACGAGCAGAGGUUGCAUCUAGUCUCUUCAAGCCCAAUAGAGAGAACGAUGAACUCACGUACGCCCUUGAAAAUCUAGAAUACGGCGGGCAUACGAGAGGGUAUGGGGCAGUUCCAUGGUACCAUUCCUUCUCAGCUGAUCAAGGGACUUAUAGAAGCCGCUAGAGAAAGAAGGAGGAGGAGGCAGAGCGGAUUUGCAAGUUGGAGGAGUUUGUGCAUAGCUCGAAAGAGUGUGAAAGAAGUCGAGAAGAAUGGAUGCAGGAGGAGAUCAAGAGGCAAGUGCAAGCAGCAAUUGGUUCCUUGACAAGAGGGGGGGCUACAUCAUCACAACUGUUAGUUGAAGAGCAGCUGCGCGCCUGCGCCUCCACGGAAGUACCAACCGCCCAAGCUGACGUGAAGCUACAGUUCCCCGUGGAUGACCUCACAGAACCAGUUAAUGUGAGCUACACAUUUCAAAAGGAACCGGGACGAAGAAGGUGGUGGUCGGUGUUGUAAAUGCUAUCAACCGGACGAGAACACCAAGAAUCCAUGGUCAACCGGUACCAGAAGGAUAUGCUCGUGUAUCGGUGGAUAGGGUGGAGAGAGGUUGUGCCAGCGUGCCUCUCGACAUUGAAGGGGGAGAUGGGGAGAAGACUCUAGGUGAGGCGGAGAAGACAUUCAUUUGUUGGCGUAAGCGCUUCAUCAUCAUUCCUGGAGUCUCACCGACGCCACCUCGUCUUACUGAUGAUCAAGAUCCUCAGCAUAGGUGCGUGGAUUCAAAAACAAUUUAACUUAUUCGCUAACAUCCUAUUCAAAAACAAUUUAUUCGCUCACAACACUCGUUUUCCUAGCAGGGACUUCAGUCCAAGUAUUCAUUCCUCAGUGCAUCAUAGUGUUGUGGGUGGUGAAGAUGCAUUGGAGGACGCAACUGCUACCCCAUCUCCUCCACGACGGUCUCCAACGCCGCCACGGGCCACACCCACCCCGCCACCGCCUUCACCACCGCCUUGAACACGGUCUCCAACGCCGCCACGGGCCGCACCGUUCCCUCCACCGCCACCGCCUCAAGCCAGUAAGAAGAGGUCCGCCCCAGCACCAAAGGCUUCAGUCCCACAUCCUAGAAAGAAGCAGGCUCAGGAUCCCUCUGGCUCUUAAGCAGCCAGUGAAAAGUUUCCUUAUGAGAAGACUGACGAGGAGAUAAUUGCAUCCGUUGCUUCUGAUAUGAAAGCACACUUUGAAAAAUGUAAAAAAAUUGAAGCGAAGUGGAACCCUGAAAAGUCAUACCUCUACUUACCAAAAGGGGAGCUCAGGAAGAGGGUGGAAGAGCACAACUGGAAAAUGCGCGAAGCUCGAAAGCCUUCGUCAAAGUUAGACUAUGAACGCUAACUAAUAAAAGUUGUAAGAGCUCAAUCCGCCCAGAAGAAAGCAGGAAAGGGUGUUCCACAGCUUGGGGACACAUCAAGACCUUUAUCCCCGUUAAUUGUGGCAGAUCAGUAUGGUUCAAAUGUGGGCGUAGUACAAAGGAAAUCCGGAGAGCCCACUUCAUCUGAGAUGGACUCACUUGAAAAUUAUUUCAUUGAGAGUGGUCUCCCGUACUCCACGAUUCAAAAUAUUGCUGCUGGGCUAGAGUUUUCACAAGCGGAAGUAGUUGAUGAAUGGAGGAGAAAUUUUGCACCGGACAGGAGUCUAAUGAACCCCAAGCACCUACAUGUACUCGGUACGCAGAUGUUUGCAAUCAACAAUUGGUGCAUGGAGGCUUCUAAAGGCGGAGUUGAUUGGAUUUCUAUUCGAAUUCAAAACCAUCACUACUUCCGUGGUGAUGACCUUAUCUUAGUCCAGAUGAGCGAAUUACACCAGCUAUGCCACAUGGACGCUCUGGACAAUCACUCAUUAGCUGCUUUUGUUCGCUCCAAAUGACUAAGCUCAGAUCCAAAAACGAUAAUACUCUUGGAUUUGUUGAUCCUUACGUCGUUUUCAAGGAGCCAAACCCUUCGGCGACUUGGAUCAAUGACAUGUGUAUGAAUCUUAUGAGGUUCUUCGUGAACCAAAAAGACAAAAAAUACUCUUCCCCUACAACUUCAACUUUCACUAGAUACUCACCAUCGAUCUUGCUGAAAGUAACUUUGUAAUCUAUGACUCAAUGAAGAAACCGCAACAAGAUUACCAAGAUAUGAUAGACAUCAUUCAAAGACUGAAUGGUUGAAGCAAAAACUCAUGCAACAUGAAUAACUCAAAGCAAUACAAGAGGCAAUAGCAGAAUUUCUUCGGGAACAAGUCAUAAAUCCAAGCGGCGAGUUCCACUAUAAUCCUAACGAGAAGAUGAUUCCAAACAAUGAUGAUCAUUUGUAUGCUUUGUAGAUCUUUAGAUGAUGAAGUACAACUUGUAAUAGGUUUAGAGUAUUAACUUUGAAGUACAACUUGUGCAGUAAUAGAU